CAGGGAUUGCCCUAGUAACGGCGAGUGAAGCGGCAACAGCUCAAAUUUGAAAUCUGGCCUUCGGGUCCGAGUUGUAAUUUGCAGAGGAUGCUUUUGGCGCGGUGCCUUCCGAGUUCCCUGGAACGGGACGCCUUAGAGGGUGAGAGCCCCGUACGGUUGGACACCAAGCCUCUGUAAAGCUCCUUCGACGAGUCGAGUAGUUUGGGAAUGCUGCUCUAAAUGGGAGGUAAAUUUCUUCUAAAGCUAAAUAUUGGCCAGAGACCGAUAGCGCACAAGUAGAGUGAUCGAAAGAUGAAAAGCACUUUGAAAAGAGGGUUAAACAGCACGUGAAAUUGUUGAAAGGGAAGCGUUUGCGACCAGACCUUCUCCUGGCGGAUCAUCCGGUGGUUUCCACCGGUGCACUUCGCCAGGUCGAGGCCAGCAUCGGUCUUUGUAGGGGGAUAAAAGCUCAGGGAACGUAGCUCCUCCGGGAGUGUUAUAGCCCUCCGCAUAAUACCCUUACGGGGACCGAGGACCGCGCCUUCGGGCAAGGAUGCUGGCGUAAUGGUUGUCAACGACCCGUCUUGAAACACGGACCAAGGAGUCGAACAUUUGUGCGAGUGUUUGGGUGUUAAACCCUCACGCGUAAUGAAAGUGAACGGAGGUGAGAGCCCUUACGGGUGCAUCAUCGACCGAUCCUGAUGUCUUCGGAUGGAUUUGAGUAAGAGCAUAACUGUUCGGACCCGAAAGAUGGUGAACUAUGCGUGGAUAGGGUGAAGCCAGAGGAAACUCUGGUGGAGGCUCGCAGCGGUUCUGACGUGCAAAUCGAUCGUCAAAUCUGCGCAUGGGGGCGAAAGACUA
rnacentral:rRNA from 1 species